rnacentral:rRNA from 1 species
UGUCGUCAGCUCGUGUCGUGAGAUGUUCGGUUAAGUCCGCUAACGAGCGCAGCCUCGUCGUAUGUUAUAUGUGUCAUACGAGACUGCCGGUAAAAAGACCGGAGGAAGGUGAGGAUGAUGUCAAGUCAGCAUGACCUUUAUAUCCAGGGCUACACACACGCUACAAUGGUCUGUACAAUGGGUAGCCAAGCCGCGAGGCGGAGCCAAUCCUGAAAGCAGGCCUCAGUUCAGAUUGCAGUCUGCAACUCGACUGCAUGAAGCCGGAGUUGCUAGUAACCGCAGGUCAGCAAUACUGCGGUGAAUACGUUCCCGGGUCUU